UGGAAGUGAGUAAUCUGCUAGCAGCCUUCAGAUGAAGAUGUAGAACUCUCAUCUCCUCCUGCACCAUGCCUGCCUGGAUGCUGCCAUGCUCCUGCCUUGAUGACAAUGGACUGAACCUCUGAACCUGAGAUCUUUGUGCAGUUCUUCAUAGAAUACUGACAUCCAAACAACAUAAAACACAAACGGUGAAAGAUGGCAGUGUAAGGUGGCAACAUCAGGAAACACUUGACUGCACCUUCAACAGACACGUGGAUGGGAACACUUUCCACACAGUGGUACUUCCUGACGGCGUGACAGCACAGAAACAAUGGAGCACACUGUGGAAACCGUGAAAAGCCACAGCAUCCUACAUUCUUAGUUUUGCCACAGCACCUGGGUCUGCUUACUCUCCCUGUUGCUUACUUUUAUUGCUACAUUAAUAUUACCUCCUUAUCUAAAA